rnacentral:rRNA from 1 species
UACAGAGGGUGCGAGCGUUGUCCGGAAUUACUGGGCGUAAAGGGCGCGUAGGCGGCCUGAUAAGUCGGGGGUGAAAUUCAGCGGCUCAACCGCUGGACUGCCUUCGAGACUGUCGGGCUCGAGCACGGUAGAGGCUGGUGUAAUUCCCGGUGUAGCGGUGGAAUGCGUAGAGAUCGGGAAGAACAUCGGUGGCGAAGGCGGCCAGCUGGGCCGUUGCUGACGCUGAGGCGCGACAGCGUGGGGAGCAAACAGG